rnacentral:tRNA from 2 species
GGAGAGGUGCAGGAGUGGCUGAACUGGCAGCACUGGAAAUGCUGUGUACGGGGAACCGUACCGUGGGUUCGAAUCCCACCCUCUCCGCCA